GCCAGCAGCCGCGGUAAUACGAAGGGCCCGAGCGUUAUUCAGAAUCACUGGGCUUAAAGCGUACGUAGGCGGACUGUAGGCGUUUUGUGAAAUCCCUCGGCUCAACCGAGGAACUGCAGAGCGAACCAUAAGUCUUGAGACAGACAGAGGUCGUCGGAACGAUUGGUGGAGUGGUGAAAUGCGUUGAUAUCAAUCGGAACGCCGAAGGAGAAGUCAGGCGACUGGGUCUGUUCUGACGCUGAGGUACGAAAGCGUGGGUAGCGAACGGGAUUAGAUACCCCGGUAGUCCACGCCGUAAACGAUGUGCACUAGGUCGAGGGCGUUCUGACGCGACUCUCGGCCGAAGCGAAAGUGUUAAGUGCACCGCCUGGGGAGUACGGUCGCAAGGCUAAAACUCAAAGGAGUUGACGGGGGCUCACACAAGCGGUGGAGCAUGUGGCUUAAUUCGAAGCAACGCGAAGAACCUUAUCCUAGGUUUGACAUACACGGAUUAGCUAUAAGAAACUAUAGUGACACCUUCGGGUGGAACGUGAACAGGUGCUGCAUGGCUGUCGUCAGCUCGUGCUGUGAAGUGUCGGGUUAAGUCCCUUAACGAGCGCAACCCUUAUCGUUAGUUGCUAGCAGGUAAUGCUGAGGACUCUAGCGAGACUGCCGGUGUUAAACCGGAGGAAGGUGGGGAUGACGUCAAGUCCGCAUGGCCUUUAUGCCUAGGGCUGCAUACGUGCUACAAUGGCAAGUACAAAACGAAGCAAUACCGCGAGGUGGAGCAAAUCGCUAAAGCUUGCCCCAGUUCGGAUUGCAGGCUGCAACUCGCCUGCAUGAAGUUGGAAUCGCUAGUAAUCGUGGAUCAGCACGCCACGGUGAAUACGUUCCUGAGCCUUGUACACACCGCCCGUCAAGUCAUGGAAGCUGGUAGUGCGUUAAGUCGCCGAGAUCA
rnacentral:rRNA from 1 species